ACAGGAAACAGAUUCCUUCAGUUUGGGUGCAGAGAAACACUUCAUUUGGUUUUGUAGCUUCACUUCACAACUUUCUUUUUGAAACCCUAAUUCCCAAAUCUUCUUCAUGGACUUCUCGAAGAAGCGCAAGACCGAAGAGAACGGCGAUGCUGAUUCUCUGUCGUCACCACCCUCCCAAGCAUUCCCCCCCGCCACCGUCCCCACAACCGCCCCCCUGGCAGCGGAAGACAUCCGCAAGAUCUUGCGUCCGUUUUCCCAGGAACAGCUCCUCGACCUCCUCCAAUCAGCGUCUCUACGCCACUCUGAUGUCCUCGACGCCGUGCGCGCCGUCGCGGACCGCGACUCUACUCUCCGUAAGCUUUUCGUUCGCGGACUUGCCGGCGAAACCACCAGCGAGACCCUGCGCAGCGUGUUCUCCACGUUCGGCGAACUCGACGAGGCCAUCGUGAUCUUCGACAAGGCCACAGGACGCUCCAAGGGCUAUGGCUUUGUGGUCUUUCGCCACGUGGAUGGCGCCAUACUCGCGCUGAAGGAUCCCAGCAAGAAGAUCGAUGGCCGCAUGACGGUAACGCAACUCGCCGCAGCUGGUGGACCUGGGGGCUCCGGCGACGUAUCAGCGAGGAAGGUUUUCGUCGGGAACGUGCCGUUUGAGAUUUCCUCGGAUAAACUACUGAGCGAAUUCCUCAAGUUCGGAGAGGUCGAGGAAGGACCUCUAGGGUUUGACAAAUCGAGCGGCAAAUCGAGGGGUUUCGCUUUUUUCGUUUAUAAGACGGAGGAAGGUGCGAGGGCUUCGUUGGUGGAACCUGUUAAGACCAUUGAUGGGCAUCAAGUGAUUUGCAAAUUGGCUGUGGAUAGCAAAAAGACGAAACCCUUUGGAGGUGAUCAACAUCAGCAUCAACACACGCAACACACGCAGCAUCAGCAGCAACAACAGCAACAUCCGCAGCAACAGAUGCAACAACAAGGUCCUAUGAUGAUACCUCAGUAUGGUGGAUAUGGUGGGAAUGGCUAUGGAAUACAGCACUCGGUGCCACCGUAUAACAAUCCGGUUCAGGUUUCUGGUGGUGGUGGGUAUGGGCACGGAAUAGGUGGUGGAUAUGGUAAUUCGCAGAUGGGUGGACCGGUUUCCGGUGACUACGGAACUAGACUGCCUCCCAAUUCUGGUGGGGGGUUCCCUGAAGGCUCCCAGUAUGGCUACCCUGCUUCUUCCACGCUUCCACCACAGCAGCAAGUGCCUAUGCCGAGACCUCCUCCCGGAGGAAUGUACCAAGGCGUGCCACCCUAUUAUUGAGAGCUUAAACUUGAUGUGGCAAUUGCAAUGCCGUGCUUUUUCAUGUAUAAAAGGUAAAAAGCCUUUAAUUCUAAUGUUAAAUUUAUAAUGAUUACUUUUAAGCUCCAUUCCACCCACCUAACCUCCUCUGAAAUAAAUAUUAAAGGUAGAAAAGCGAAAGAAUUUAACAAGAUGUUUUCUUUAGUAAACCACUAAUUUGAUUCUUGAAAUAUUACACUCUCUCGUGAGUGGUUUUUGAAGUAACACAGACUAAAGUAAUCCUAGAAGUAUUUUAAAUCAAAGUAAACCCUUUAAGAAGUAUACUUUAGGGAUGGCUUCAAGUUUUAUUACUUUCGGAAUUAUUUGAGAGAGUUUGAGGAUUAAUUGGUGAUUUAUUUGUAUUUUAUUUGUUUGCAUCCAUUACGUCAGGUAUGCAGCUUGAUAAUGUUGGCUUAGGUCUUAACUGAACCUCACAAUCAAUUUGUUGGGCAAAUAUUGUCCUGGCUUUGAACUCAAUUUUAGUCUUAUCUUUAUCCAGUUUGCGCCUAAAAUUAUCAUCCUUGGGACUACAACUUCGGCAAUCCUUAAAGAGGUUGCAACUAAAGAGAACUAAGGGUUACUGCAGCUAAGGUAGCUUUCUGGCACAUCCCCUCUCAUCCAAGGCUAUUAGCUUGGAGUGUGGCAAUCAUUUGGCCCAACUAUGGAUAUAGGACAGACUUCUAUACCUUCUUAAGGUUUUAGGUUAGAGCCUGAUCAGCCCUCAAAACUUUUUUAUAACGUGGGGAUUGUUGUAGCUCUAUGUAAGCCCUAUCUCUAGUGGAUUUGAUACUAAACACCAUCCUUGAUUAGGUAUAUUACAUGUUACUGCUCUUUCUUAAAUCAGUUUACAUCCUUGAUUAGGUAUACUAAACACCAUCUUAGAAUUUGGACUUAGGACCUAAUUUGAUCUCACAACCUCAUUUAACUAGCUUGAAAGGUGAGAAUUGUCCAAACUCUAUUCAAGCUGUAUCUCUUCUUGAUUUGACACUAAACACCACCUUUGAGGCUGCUGUCAUGGAGAAGUUUCAACUAAGAUGGGCUCUUGGUGACUGCAGUUUAGAUAGAUGGCUUUAUAGUAGAAGAUGAAGAGCAUUACAGUGUAAUUGUGUUGGUUGUUUGCCUGAUUUUUCAUUUUGCUGCUGUUGAAUAGUGAAACUUCAAUUAGGAUCUUGUUACUGCUCUUUCUUAAAUCAGAUUACAUGUUACUGCUAUUUUAUUACUUACUCUCUUUGCUAAAUCAGGCUACUUGUUAAUGCAAUUUUGUUACUUAAAAUGUUUUGUCUCAUCUUGCAAGUGUUUCUCAUGGGAAUAAUAAUUAACUUGCUUUGCUAUAGUUGGGUGUUUAUUUUAUUCAUUUUGAUCUGUCAUGAUCAUGCUUUUGGGCCAAAUAAAUUAUUGUAUGUUUCUUUGGGAAUGUUUCUACGAUGUUUUCUAAUUUUGAUUGCUUGUGUAUCAAAACUUGUGUAUGUCCAUAUGUGCUGCUCUUUCUAAUGAUUUUCGAGGUGAUUCUCCUGGUCGUUUUCGAUUUCAAGUAGUUCGGCCAACAACGCCUUGCUGUUAUCCUUCUGAGGUGGAUCAAUGCCUUGAGUGCUACUCGGCGGCGGCUAGCGACGUCGGAAAGCGCCAUGGAAACCAACACUCUGACCACCCCAAGCUCAGUCGCCAAUUCCCUCACCUUCUCAUAUUCUUUAGCCAACCUUUCUAUCUCUUUUGCUGCCACUUCUUUCUCUUCCCAGCUUCCAAAGAGAAGCUUCUUCACACUUUUUUGUAACAGCAUCACAUUCUCACACCUUUCCUUCUCCAUUUCCUAGAUAUUCAACCUUGUUCUUCUUUCAUGACAGAGGAAAAUUGCCCUUGCAUUUUAGCCCCAUGC